UUCCGACAUGCUGUCGAGCACUUUGACUGCUUGUGGAAUACCAUAUGGAUCCAUAACAGGAGUCAAACUAGAUGUGGCUUAACUCAUAUUGUCAGCUGCAUUGCAUAAUUUUUCUAUUUGACUAGACAAUCUUGCAGCCCCUCCAAUUUGCUUUGAGGAUUUCUUUCUUCCAGUUUUAAAAUGUGAACUUGAUAUCUCAGGAUUUUUCCUUUUUUGACCGUUUCCAUCAGUUUGAACAUCAUUUGAAAUGUGAACAUCAUUUGAAAUGUGAACAUCAUUUAAAAUGCGAACAUCAUUUCUCACAUUUUCUUCUUCAUUCUCUUAAGGUAUUUCAUUGUUAACAUCUUCAAAAAUAU
rnacentral:lncRNA from 1 species